UACGUAGGGUGCAAGCGUUAAUCGGAAUUACUGGGCGUAAAGCGUGCGCAGGCGGUUUUGUAAGUCUGUCGUGAAAUCCCCGGGCUCAACCUGGGAAUUGCGAUGGAGACUGCAAGGCUAGAAUCUGGCAGAGGGGGGUAGAAUUCCACGUGUGAGCAGUGAAAUGCGUAGAGAUGUGGAGGAACACCGAUGGCGAAGGCAGCCUCCUGGGCCAGCACUGACGCUCAUGCACGAAAGCGUGGGGAGCAAACAGG
rnacentral:rRNA from 1 species